AAAGUACUCCCUCCAUCCCAAAAUUCUUGUCUUAGAUUUGUCUAGAUACAGAUGUAUCAAGUCACAUUUUAGUAUUAGAUACAUCUGUAACUAGACAAAUCUAAGACAAGAAAUUUGGGACAGAGGGAGUAGUUG
rfam:Triticum aestivum genome assembly, contig: Triticum_aestivum_CS42_TGACv1_scaffold_195991_3AL